AUUUUUUGUAUUUUGAAUAUUGGUUACUGACCAUAAAAUCUAUCUUAUCUUAUCAGGGUCCAUAAAAAGGAGAUUCAGCCUUCCUCUAAUUAUUCCCAUUUCUCAUUAUGCUCCACCGUAAACUUCUAAAGACAGCUUUUCUUCCCAAGUCAGCCAUUUAUAAUUCCUCCCUGACAAUUCCUAUUUUGGAUUACAUAAAUCUACUCCUUUGCAUUUCAAUACGCAAUGAAUAUACUUUCUCACAUUACAAAUCAUAAACCUUAACUCCCAUUAAAAGAAAAGACCUUCGGUA
rnacentral:lncRNA from 1 species